GAUAUUUGCUCGGUAGACCGAUGGUCCG
rnacentral:sRNA from 1 species